GCCAUUUUUUCUCCUCUGAGGAUUUCGGAAGGAUGCUACUUAAAACAAAACUUGGCGAUGUCCAAAAGUUUGUAAGAAUAACAGAGCUUAAUCUUACGGAGUUUCUGAAUGCAGCAUUUGCAAAGUUUGGUGUCCCACCUGUAACAGAAGGUGUGAACGUUUUGACAGUUCUGGGACAGAGGUGGAUGAGGAUGUUUUUGAGGAUAUAGUAAAUGAUCCCUCAACUGGGGUGUUAAUCAUCAAAUUUGAUACAGAGUCUAUCUCCACUGUGGCUUCUCCAUUAAAACCGGCUAUUAACACCUUCCACCUAACCCUGGGUGGUAUUUAAUGUUGUUGCUAGUACAUGAAUACAGCAUUUCACCAACCUCAAGAUCUUCAGAUUGCCGUUGGAAAUGCGUAU